CAGCCGCCGCGGUAACACGUAGGUGGCAAGCGUUGUCCGGAAUUAUUGGGCGUAAAGGGCUCGCAGGCGGUUUCUUAAGUCUGAUGUGAAAGCCCCCGGCUCAACCGGGGAGGGUCAUUGGAAACUGGGAAACUUGAGUGCAGAAGAGGAGAGUGGAAUUCCACGUGUAGCGGUGAAAUGCGUAGAGAUGUGGAGGAACACCAGUGGCGAAGGCGACUCUCUGGUCUGUAACUGACGCUGAGGAGCGAAAGCGUGGGGAGCGAACAGGAUUAGAUACCCCGGUAGUCCCUGUCUCUUAUAC
rnacentral:rRNA from 1 species